AACGCCGCCAGGCCAGGCCUACGAGGCAGGCGCAGCCACACCACCAGGCAGAGGGCAGCAGGCCACUGGAGGCAAGAAUAGUGCCGCCGGUCUGGUCCCCUUACCCCUGAAAGACGCAGGAGGCUUCACGUCGCAGAGCCAGCCAGAGCCCCUCUUCUCCUUUGCCGGCUCCCUCGUGCUUGACCAGGAGCCCCAAGAAAACCUUGCCGGAGACUUCGGUCGGGCCUCCUGUCAAUUUCAAUUACCCGGAGAGCCUAAGAGCCUGAGGCCGAGAUAAUAGCAAUCCAAAGGGUUGGAGUUUGUGGAGACAGAAAAGAACAAUCAGAGACAGGAGAGGAGGCAGGAGGGAAAAGGCGCGUGUGAGCCGGGAAAAGCCUGUUCUGAGUACCGUCUGCCCUUCUGUUUUGAGAGCUGUCCUGGAGAUCAGUCUCGUUUACAUCUCGGGGCUUCCUCCCCCUCUUGUUGCCUCCUACCCCAGCAUUUCUCAGAAUGGUUACGCUUUUGCAGCAAAGCCUUACAGUUCCAACACUGGAUUCAGACAGAACAGAGGAAGGCAUUGCCCACGUGCCUCUCCUCUUUACACUUCGAUUGCCCCUCCUGAUGGGAGCUUCCAGAGGAUGAGCAUCUCUCCCUGGGCUAGGAACUGAUCGCUGCGCCCGCCCUGCUGUGUCCCUCGAGACGGCAGACCUGCGGUGAAUAGCUGUGCUGAGCCUGCAAGGCAAUCUCGUGACUGUGGUAAAAGGGACAUUCCUAUCAUAUGUGAUGUAUGCUCUUUGUUCCAAGACAGUGUCUAACCACUCUGUACA